rnacentral:rRNA from 1 species
AUACGGAGGGAGCUAGCGUUGUUCGGAUUUACUGGGCGUAAAGCGUGCGUAGGCGGACCAUUAAGUUGAGGGUGAAAUCCCAGGGCUCAACCCUGGAACUGCCCUCAAAACUGGUGGUCUGGAGUAUGGGAGAGGUAAGUGGAAUUCCGAGUGUAGAGGUGAAAUUCGUAGAUAUUCGGAGGAACACCAGAGGCGAAGGCGGCUUACUGGACCAUUACUGACGCUGAGGCACGAAAGCGUGGGGAGCAAACAGGAUUAGAAACCCUAGUAGUCC